UUUAGGUCUUUUGGAAUGGGGACAGCAUAUAUGUAAGAUGUAGCUGCUAGAGUUUCCCGGUAUCAUGGCGGAUGUGUAAGGAUUCGCCACCAGAGGAAUCAGAUUUUAAUAAGGCUUACAAGAUUAGGUUUUAGUUGUUGUGCCCAGAGAUUGAGUUACCAUUGUUUCUGAACUAAGUUUGUGUUGGCUUUCCCUUCACACAGUGGGGGCGGCUCAUCUGGGUUCAAGAGAGAAAGGUAUCCUGUAAAGCAUGGGUGUGCUAAAUGUGCAACACAAAGGUUGUGGGGGAUUUGAAGCACAGGUGGGCUUGGUAAGGACCCACCAGUGGGAACCUAGGGGGCUGGGUGGAGAGAUUGUGGAGUUCUGAGUCAGAGUCUCCAUGAGAUAAAACAAGUUGACCAAUGCCUGACCAGACCACUGGGGCAGAGAGUUGCUGGCACAAGCAUGGGAACGUGUCAGUUCUUUUUUAAUAUUUCCCACAACAAAUAUAUAUCCUGAUUACAGUUUCCCCUCCCUCUACCCCCCUCCCCGUUCCUCCCUGAAUUUCAGGGUUCAGACUACAAACUGCUUCUGUGUGACUAAGAGAAGAAGAAUCAGAGUAAAGAGAAACAUACUCUCUUAAUCUCCGAAGAUUAACGGCAGGAGGAGCUCUAGAAUUUCACAAAGGUGCUGUCAGGACACAUGAAAAUCUAGAGAAAAAGACCAGCUUGAAGAGACCAAAAAGAAGAAAGCCUGCCAAUCACAUCCUCCAGAGAUUCUGAGACACACACACCCCUGGUGUAGGGGGACACCAUCUGAAAGGUGACACCCAUUCUACGGAAUAUAAGUACCAGCUAAAGAGGACACACACUUGAAGAAAAAGGAGACAAUGAGGUCUUGUGAAUGCUCUAAUUUUUCAAAGCUUACUUUUAAUGAUGGUUCUUAAACGCUUUAACCUCCCUUCUAGUCCACCACCCACCAAAGGUAGUGAAAAGAAAGGUGAUUAGGAUACAGGCGAAGUGAACCUGUUCAGACAUGGUUCUUUGGUGCACAACCUAGCAGGAACAUCCAGGUCUCAGUGGAAUCAGCUCAAAUCAGCAUGAAGAAUUAGGACCAUUAGGAGUUCCAGGAGAAGCUCUCAGCUCUGCCUCUCUGGACAAAUCGAUGAUCAGGAAAGACAAAAGCGCGAGAAGCGUUGCAGAGUUAGCUGUACAAGCUAGCCUCUCUCACGGUCUGUUGAGUCCUAUUUAUACUCCCUCCAAACAUCACAUGUCCUCCAUGGGUCUUGCCUCACCGUGUGUCUUACCUCAGCACAUGAAUCUGUCUCAGCUGAUAUCGCUCUGCUAAGCGACCAAGUCGGCAGAAGAGGCAAGAAGCCACCAGCCAUCACCAGAAGGUUUUUGGUGCAUUUCUCUCUGUGGAGUGUCAACAAAUGAAGAUCAACUACACAAUGUAAGGUGGACCAAGUCAUGCGUAUUGUUAGCAAAGAAUCCAUCAUGUAUCCUUUCACAUGCUUGCUUUGCCAAAACAUCCUCUCAUUUGUGUAUGCUUCAGUGAAGUUUCUUCCCGUAUCUGCCUUAUUGAAACAUCUCUUCACUUGUCUCUGUUUCAGGAAAACACUCCUUCCUGUGUGUGCCCCAGCAAAGCACAAUUCAAUGAAACUGACUUUCUAAAGAAACCAAAAGUUGGGGCUGGAGAGAUGGCUCAGUGGUUAAGAGCACUGACUGCUCUUCAAGAUGUCCUGAGUUCAAUUCCCAGCAACCACAUGGUGGCUCACAACGAUCCAUAAUGAGAUCCAAUGCCCCCUUCUGGUGUAUCUGAAGACAGCUACAGUGUACUCACAUACAUAAAAUAAAUAAAAUCUUGAAAAAAGAAAAAAGAAAGAAAGAAGCUAGAAGUUUCCACUUGAA
rnacentral:lncRNA from 1 species